rnacentral:lncRNA from 1 species
UGGCCCCUUUUGUGAUGUGGGGCUGGGGUCAGCCCGAGCCUCCUGUAUGGGCUCAGUCUUGGCCCCUUUUGUGAUGUGGGGCUGGGGUCAGCCCGAGCCUCCUGUAUGGGCUCAGUCUUGGCCCCUUUUGUGAUGUGGGGCUGGGGUCAUCCCGAGCCUCAUGCAUGGGCAGGGUCCUGGUCCCCUCUGUGAUGUGGGGCUGGGGUCAGGGCCUGCCUCACUGCAUGGUGCGGGGCCCAGCCCCAUGGCAUGGCACCGGCAGCCAGCCCUGCCCUGCUGCGUUUUGUAGGGCCCGGCGCUAUGCCACGAUAUGGGGCCGGGGCCGGGACCUGCCCUGCUGCGUGAGGUGCCCUGCAGCGUCUCCGUGUCACCGAAGCCUCCUCUGGACACCGAGCGGAGGGGCUGGGGAACCUGUGCUGUGCUCCCGGUGCGUGAGAGGCCCUCGGGUGGGUCGCACAGCUCGCCCAGCAAGGUAAAUAAACCUGCCUCAGCUACGUUUGUUGGUAUGAAUCUGGGGAUUUUUCCCAACAUAUGUUCUUUUCUCUGGCAGAGACAAAAGCCAUAGUAAGCAAACAUUGAGCCGGCAGCCGGCUACGUGGGCUGCUCUGCGGCUGAUUUAUUUGUCUGAUCAGAACUGUAAAUUCUCCAGCUUCGGGGCUGAAUUCAGCCUCCGGGGAAGGGAGAAGACUCGGCUGGGGUCUGCUUGUAGAGUUGGUGGCCGAGGUGGUUCGUUAGGGACGCUGUCGGUCUGGUCAGCCAUCCUACAAGAAGGAUUUGUGCUGGCAAACCUCAUCCCUGCUGCAUGUCCCCUCCUUGGGGAGCCGUGCAGCCCCAUCCCCAGCAGAGGUGCGUCCCCAGUGCCUCGGUUUCCCCUUGACCAUUUUCCCUGGUUUUAAGCACCAGCCGCCCCGAGUGGUGCUGGUGUCCGGCACGAGCACAUCCUGCUGGAACAUCCUCGCUUGUGGGGCGGCCCCAUGGGUGUCCCGCGUGCCCCACGGCAGCGAGCAGGGGGAGAGGAGCCCCGUGCUGGGGCUGCAGGCUGGGCUGGGGGGCUUUGAUUUCCCCCAUAAGGGAAGCAGACGAGCAAGGUGCCGUUUCCCUUCCUGGUGGGCUCCGUGCUCGUCCUUCAUCCCUUCCCCAUGCCCCCCGGGAGCAGGAGGGGGCUGCGGGAGGGAGGCGGUGUGCGUGGAGGGCGAUUGUC